rnacentral:rRNA from 1 species
GACGUAGGGUGCGAGCGUUGUCCGGAUUUAUUGGGCGUAAAGAGCUCGUAGGCGGCUCGUCGCGUCGACCGUGAAAACCCGCAGCUUAACUGCGGGCUUGCGGUUGAUACGGGCGGGCUAGAGUUCGGUAGGGGAGACUGGAAUUCCUGGUGUAGCGGUGAAAUGCGCAGAUAUCAGGAGGAACACCGAUGGCGAAGGCAGGUCUCUGGGCAGUUACUGACGCUGAGGAGCGAAAGCAUGGGGAGCGAACAGG